rnacentral:rRNA from 1 species
GACGAACGCUGGCGGCGUGCUUAACACAUGCAAGUCGAACGGAAAGGCCCUGCUUUUGUGGGGUGCUCGAGUGGCGAACGGGGGAGUAACACGUGAGUAACCUGCCCUUGACUGUGGGGUAACUUCAGGAAACUGGGGCUAUUACCGGAUAGGAGCUCCUGCUGCAUGGUGGGGGUUGGAAAGUUUCGGCCGUUGGGGAUGGAUUAGAGGGUUAUGAGCUGGUUGGUGGGGUAGGGGCUUACCAAGGCUUUGACGGGUAGCCGGCCUGAGAGGGUGACCGGGCACAUUGGGACUGAGAUAGGGCCCAGACUCCUACGGGAGGCAGCAGGGGGGAAUAUUGCACAAUGGGCGGAAGCCUGAUGCAGCAACGCCGCGUGCGGGAUGACGGCUUUCGGGUUGUAAACCGCUUUCGCCUGUGACGAAGCGUGAGUGACGGUAAUGGGUAAAGAAGCACCGGCUAACUACGUG